UACGUAGGGGGCAAGCGUUGUCCGGAUUUAUUGGGCGUAAAGCGCUCGCAGGUGGUUCGUCGCGUCGUGCGUGAAAGACCCCGGCUCAACUGGGGAGUGUCGUGCGAUACGGGCGGACUGGAGGCCAGUAGGGGGAUGCGGAAUUCCGGGUGUAGUGGUGGAAUGCGUAGAGAUCCGGAGGAACACCAGCGGCGAAGGCGGCAUCCUGGACUGGUCCUGACACUCAGGGGCGAAAGCGUGGGGAGCGAUCCGG
rnacentral:rRNA from 1 species